CUUGGUCAUUUAGAGGAAGUAAAAGUCGUAACAAGGUUUCCGUAGGUGAACCUGCGGAAGGAUCAUUACAGAGUUCAUGCCCUCACGGGUAGAUCUCCACCCUUGAAUACCUUACCUUUGUUGCUUUGGCGGGCCACGUUCGCGUGUCGGCUUCGGCUGGCUGUGCCCGCCAGAGGACCCAAACUCUUUUUGUUUAGUGAUGUCUGAGUACUAUAUAAUAGUUAAAACUUUCAACAACGGAUCUCUUGGUUCUGGCAUCGAUGAAGAACGCAGCGAAAUGCGAUAAGUAAUGUGAAUUGCAGAAUUCAGUGAAUCAUCGAAUCUUUGAACGCACAUUGCGCCCCUUGGUAUUCCGAGGGGCAUGCCUGUUCGAGCGUCAUUAUGACCACUCAAGCCCGGCUUGGUGUUGGGGUCCGCGGUCCCGCGGCCCUUAAAAUCAGUGGCGGCGCCAUCUGGCUCUAAGCGUAGUAAUACUCCUCGCUAUAGGGUCCCGGUGGAUGCUUGCCAUCAACCCCCCAUCUCACGGUUGACCUCGGAUCAGGUAGGGAUACCCGCUGAACUUAAGCAUAUCAAUAAGCGGAGGA
rnacentral:rRNA from 1 species